AUACGGAGGAUGCGAGCGUUAUUCGGAUUUAUUGGGUUUAAAGGGAGCGUAGGCGGGAGCUUAAGUCAGCGGUUAAAUGGUGCGGCUCAACCGUGCCCUGCCGUUGAAACUGGGUUUCUUGAGAGUGCAAGAGGCGGAUGGAAUUCAUGGUGUAGCGGUGAAAUGCUUAGAUAUCAUGAAGAACUCCGAUUGCGAAGGCAGUCCGCUGGGGCACGUCUGACGCUGAUGCUCGAAGGUGCGGGAAUCAAACAGGAUUAGAUACCCUGGUAGUCCGCACGGUAAACGAUGAUUACCCGCUGUCGGCGGCAGACGGUCGGCGGCCAAGCGAAAGCGAUAAGUAAUCCACCUGGGGAGUACGCCGGCAACGGUGAAACUCAAAGGAAUUGACGGGG
rnacentral:rRNA from 1 species